GGCAAUGUGGUAUAGUGGUUUGACUCUCCAGAUUAUGACUCUGGAGAUCAGGGUUCAAAUCCCAGCUUGGCCU